GUUGUCACCUUCUCAGUGGCUUUGGUCCAAAGAAUUGAGACAACAUAAAGGCAAGCGAUAGGGGGCGAGAAAUAGGCGCUGACGGCUUGGAUGUAAAUAAACAGUUGGCCUCCUUGGACGUUCUGUACCACAGAUAUUGAAAGGCAUUACUUACCGUCCUACAAUCAUGAGCUCUCUGACGGAUGCCUUGGACCUGAUCCGGCCAUACACGUCGAUAGUGAAGAGAGUGCUGGCGCUGUUAAAGAUGGAAGUCAAGUCACUCAUCAAGGCGGCCAUCAUCACAGCCAUCAUCAGACCACGAAGACCUUUAAGCAGAAAAUAUCAAGGUGCGCCAUAGAUAUGGUAGAGCCUUAUAUAUACAUGUCAGGAAUAUAUGGUUAGUCUCACCUGAUCAGCGCACCAGUACCAGAUAGAAGCGACAGUCUGUCCGAGAAGGAAUCCUGGCCAGGGAAUGUCUGAAUUGACAGGAUCUCUGAGCAUUGUGAAGGAAUCAUGUCGAGGCCAGCCGCAAGUGUUAUUAGAAUAGAGUGUUUCAUUGGCAACCGCCUUCAUGUACUUCUCUUGCAAGCCAGAGUAGCCACCAAUUUUAGAAAAUCCUAAAGGAUUUGAAUAAACAGUUCUUUAUAAAUAAAGUUGCUGUUGUUCUUUGAUGAAGCUUAAGAGAAGAGGAUAAAAUAAGGACUUACUCACCCAUGCCCAUUACCGUCAGUGAGCCAACACCCAUCAGAAAGGUGCAUAGGGUGUCAGUAUAGAUCACAGCAGCCAAUCCACCUGGUCAAACCAAGAAAAAGUAAACAUGGUUAGAAUUAGUAUUUUGCAAACCCCUUUCCACCUCAGGUAAAUUACUGUAUUGACACAGGGAGCUCGUCUCUAUGGUUUGAAUAAAGUUAGAGUUGUUUUUUA